UCCAGACUCCUACGGGAGGCAGCAGUGGGGAAUAUUGCACAAUGGGGGAAACCCUGAUGCAGCGACGCCGCGUGAGUGAAGAAGUAAUUCGUUACGUAAAGCUCUAUCAGCAGGGAAGAAACACUGACCUUACGGUCAGCAGACGGUACCUGAGUAAGAAGCCCCGGCUAACUACGUGCCAGCAGCCGCGGUAAUACGUAGGGGGCAAGCGUUAUCCGGAUUUACUGGGUGUAAAGGGAGCGUAGACGGCAUAGCAAGUCUGAAGUGAAAGCCCAAGGCUCAACCAUGGGACUGCUUUGGAAACUGUUAAGCUAGAGUGCUGGAGAGGUAAGCGGAAUUCCUAGUGUAGCGGUGAAAUGCGUAGAUAUUAGGAAGAACACCAGUGGCGAAGGCGGCUUACUGGACAGUAACUGACGUUGAGGCUCGAAAGCGUGGGGAGCAAACAGGAUUAGAUACCCGUGUA
rnacentral:rRNA from 1 species